UUGAUUGGUCGAAAGACCUUAUCAGAUUCGACCACCUCUGUGAACCGUUGACCUCCGGGUUAAUAAUCAAACAUCAGUGUAACGAACGUAAGAGUAUCUUAAUUAAACA
rnacentral:misc_RNA from 1 species